ACUCAGCUGGGAGGUGUGGAUGAAUCUGGAAACAGCCGUUUACAUGGCAAUAAAUCAAGCCCAAUAUUACUAAGAACUCCUGCAUUUCUUUGGCUUUUUUCUCAUUUUUCUUAUUUAUCAUGGUUUGUAAUGAAUUUUCUGAUGUGAGCUUUGGUUUUGAGACUGGUAUAUUGAGCUCAGGGCACAAGAGGAAGGUUCUUUUUCAAUCAGGGCACAGCUGUUGGCUUGCUCCAAUUCUGGCUUGCUGUCAUUGUUGUAGGUUCCUCCGCUGACUUUUGGAUUCUUCAGUGGCAAUUUCCUAAAUGUUUUCUGGGUCUGAGUUGGUUUUGCCUUCUUCCUUGCCAAAUUUUGUAUUCUGACGCAAUACAAACAAGAGCUUGGGCAGAGUAGCCAUUAUGAAAUAAAAAACAAAACAAAUAGGCAUUUGAAGUUUUGAAAUCUACAGGUAAGAAGACUAAGGUGAGUUUUUGAGUUUUGGAAGAUAAAAUGGAACACUUUGGCUGAGGUGACAGAUAUUAAUUGCCUCCAAACCGAGUUUCACUGCGAUAUUCAGGUUAAUUCAGUCAGAAACCACAGACACUCAGCUGGGAGGUGUGGAUGAAUCUGGAAACAGCCGUUUACAUGGCAAUAAAUCAAGCCCAAUAUUACUAAGAACUCCUGCAUUUCUUUGGCUUUUUUCUCAUUUUUCUUAUUUAUCAUGGUUUGUAAUGAAUUUUCUGAUGUGAGCUUUGGUUUUGAGACUGGUAUAUUGAGCUCAGGGCACAAGAGGAAGGUUCUUUUUCAAUCAGGGCACAGCUGUUGGCUUGCUCCAAUUCUGGCUUGCUGUCAUUGUUGUAGGUUCCUCAGCUGACUUUUGGAUUCUUGAGUGGCAAUUUCCUAAAUGUUUUCUGGGUCUGAGUUGGUUUUGCCUUCUUCCUUGCCAAAUUUUGUAUUCUGACGCAAUACAAACAAGAGCUUGGGCAGAGUAGCCAUUAUGAAAUAAAAAACAAAACAAAUAGGCAUUUGAAGUUUUGAAAUCUACAGGUAAGAAGACUAAGGUGAGUUUUUGAGUUUUGGAAGAUAAAAUGGAACACUUUGGCUGAGGUGACAGAUAUUAAUUGCCUCCAAACCGAGUUUCACUGCGAUAUUCAGGUUAAUUCAGUCAGAAACCACAGACACUCAGCUGGGAGGUGUGGAUGAAUCUGGAAACAGCCGUUUACAUGGCAAUAAAUCAAGCCCAAUAUUACUAAGAACUCCUGCAUUUCUUUGGCUUUUUUCUCAUUUUUCUUAUUUAUCAUGGUUUGUAAUGAAUUUUCUGAUGUGAGCUUUGGUUUUGAGGCUGGUAUAUUGAGCUCAGGGCACAAGAGGAAGGUUCUUUUUCAAUCAGGGCACAGCUGUUGGCUUGCUCCAAUUCUGGCUUGCUGCCAUUGUUGUAGGUUCCUCAGCUGACUUUUGGAUUCUUGAGUGGCAAUUUCCUAAAUGUUUUCUGGGUCUGAGUUGGUUUUGCCUUCUUCCUUGCCAAAUUUUGUAUUCUGACGCAAUACAAACAAGAGCUUGGGCAGAGUAGCCAUUAUGAAAUAAAAAACAAAACAAAUAGGCAUUUGAAGUUUUGAAAUCUACAGGUAAGAAGACUAAGGUGAGUUUUUGAGUUUUGGAAGAUAAAAUGGAACACUUUGGCUGAGGUGACAGAUAUUAAUUGCCUCCAAACCGAGUUUCACUGCGAUUUUCAGGUUAAUUCAGUCAGAAACCACAGAUACUCAGCUGGGAGGUGUGGAUGAAUCUGGAAACAGCCGUUUACAUGGCAAUAAAUCAAGCCCAAUAUUACUAAGA